rnacentral:rRNA from 1 species
AUUGAACGCUGGCGGCAGGCCUAACACAUGCAAGUCGGACGGUAGCACAGAGGAGCUUGCUCCUUGGGUGACGAGUGGCGGACGGGUGAGUAAUGUCUGGGGAUCCGCCCGAUAGAGGGGGAUAACCACUGGAAACGGUGGCUAAUACCGCAUAACGUCGCAAGACCAAAGAGGGGGACCUUCGGGCCUCUCACUAUCGGAUGAACCCAGAUGGGAUUAGCUAGUAGGCGGGGUAAUGGCCCACCUAGGCGACGAUCCCUAGCUGGUCUGAGAGGAUGACCAGCCACACUGGAACUGAGACACGGUCCAGACUCCUACGGGAGGCAGCAGUGGGGAAUAUUGCACAAUGGGCGCAAGCCUGAUGCAGCCAUGCCGCGUGUGUGAAGAAGGCCUUAUGGUUGUAAAGCACUUUAAGCGGGGAGGAAGGCGAUAAGGUUAAUAACCUUGUCGAUUGACGUUACCCGCAGAAGAAGCACCGGCUAACUCCGUGCCAGCCGCCGCCGUAA